UAGAGGGAGACUUCAAAGAAACUUGAAAAAUUUGGAGCCCGUUCACCUGAGGCGCCCAAAAAAGAGACCAUCCAUAUUUCCAGUCAUCUGUUGUGGAAAGCAAGCACUCGUCGACUUGGAGGAAACAGGCGGUUCCACAUACUUCCUUGUCGCUUAGUCAGAGGACAGCGUGAUGCAGAUUACUCAUGGCCAGAGGAGGAGGGACUCGGAGCUGCACUCACAAGGCAGACAGACCAGCAUCCGGUUGAUCCUGAUGCUCAGUUUUAGCUCAACCCCUUUCAAACAGCAGGUUUCUAUUGGCAACUUCAGGUAGUCAUUUGAACAAUGGCACCUACAUGUGUUUCGGCUUCCCUUGAGGUGGCCAGAAGGAGACUUUGAGGAUGGGCAGUUCAAGUCAGGCUCCCUACUUAACACA